CUGCUGCCUCCCGUAGGAGUUUGGACCGUGUCUCAGUUCCAAUGUGGGGGACCUUCCUCUCAGAACCCCUACUGAUCGUCGCCCCGGUGGGCCGUUACCCCGCCGGCAAGCUAAUCAGACGCAUCCCCAUCCUUUACCGGCCGAAGCCUUUGGUCAUGAAAAUAUGCAUCAACAUGACAACAUACGGUAUUAAUCCGCCUUUCGACGGGCUGUCCCAUAGUAAAGGGCAGGUUGGAUACGCGUUACUCACCCGUACGCCGGUCGCCAU
rnacentral:rRNA from 1 species